CAACUCUGGUUUCUCUUCAAUCACGCACAAGUUUUUCGCCUUUUACUAAAGACUUCCGUGGAGAGCAACGCUUACGAGUUCAACAUAUUUUUGGACGGGCUUUGCUCCCGGCAGAGCC
rnacentral:snRNA from 1 species